rnacentral:rRNA from 1 species
GACGAACGCUGGCGGCGUGCUUAGCACAUGCAAGUCGAACGGAAAGGCUCCAGCUUGCUGGAGUACUCGAGUGGCGAACGGGUGAGUAACACGUGGGUAAUCUGCCCUGCACUCUGGGAUAAGCCUGGGAAACUGGGUCUAAUACUGGAUAUGACCUUUCUCCUUAUGGGGUUUGGUGGAAAGUUUUUCGGUGUAGGAUGAGCCCGCGGCCUAUCAGCUUGUUGGUGGGGUGAUGGCCUACCAAGGCGACGACGGGUAGCCGGCCUGAGAGGGUGAUCGGCCACAUUGGGACUGAGAUACGGCCCAGACUCCUACGGGAGGCAGCAGUGGGGAAUAUUGCACAAUGGGCGGAAGCCUGAUGCAGCGACGCCGCGUGAGGGAUGACGGCCUUCGGGUUGUAAACCUCUUUCAGCAGGGACGAAGCGUAAGUGACGGUACCUGCAGAAGAAGCACUGGCUAACUAGGUG